rnacentral:rRNA from 1 species
UGGGGAAUAUUGCACAAUGGGCGCAAGCCUGAUGCAGCCAUGCCGCGUGUGUGAAGAAGGCCUUCGGGUUGUAAAGCACUUUCAGCGGGGAGGAAGGCGUUAAGGUUAAUAACCUUGGCGAUUGACGUUACCCGCAGAAGAAGCACCGGCUAACUCCGUGCCAGCAGCCGUGGUAAUACGGAGGGUGCAAGCGUUAAUCGGAAUUACUGGGCGUAAAGCGCACGCAGGCGGUCUGUCAAGUCGGAUGUGAAAUCCCCGGGCUCAACCUGGGAACUGCAUUCGAAACUGGCAGGCUAGAGUCUUGUAGAGGGGGGUAGAAUUCCAGGUGUAGCGGUGAAAUGCGUAGAGAUCUGGAGGAAUACCGGUGGCGAAGGCGGCCCCCUGGACAAAGACUGACGCUCAGGUGCGAAAGCGUGGGGAGCAAACAGG